rnacentral:lncRNA from 1 species
UUAUACGUCUCCGCCCCAAGGCCUGCUAUACAAAGAGAACAAAUCAUUUGGGCCAUUUAAUGAACUGCUUAACAAUCAUCUAUUGGGCUUUUUCGUGGGGAUUUCUUUUUUUUUUUUUGGGUUUGUACAGCCCGAAUCAUUUCUCCAAAAAUAUAUCGUGGAAAUAAGUUAGGAUCGUUAACAUAGACUAUCAGUAUUAACUGGCUGGGCUGACUCAAUUUUGACGCUGCCGCUAAUUUAUUUUUUUAUGUAAAAUGUUCGUAGACCCAAAUGUGUUUGAUCUUAUAACAACAUGUACUUUCCUCUUUUUCUUUUUUUUUUGUCGUUGUUAAAGCUAUCACUUGGUACUAGGUUUUAUUCCGUGGGACAACUUUUUUUUUUUUUUUUUUAAUAAUAUUUUCUGAUAUUUUAUAAAAGAAUGACUUUCUUUUUUAAUUUUCCAUUUUGUAAUAUAAUUUACUUUUAUCUUUAUGGGUUUACAAAGGUUUUUAAAACUUUAUGGGUUUACAAAGGUUUUAUCUUUAUGGGUUUU